UAGGGAAUAUUGCACAAUGGGCGAAAGCCUGAUGCAGCAACGCCGCGUGCGCGAAGAAGGUCUUCGGAUCGUAAAGCGCUUUUUGGGGAGAUGAGGAAGGACAGUAUCCCCAGAAUAAGGCUCGGCUAACUACGUGCCAGCAGCCGCGGUAAAACGUAGGAGCCAAGCGUUAUCCGAAUUCACUGGGCGUAAAGCGCGUGCAGGCGGUCUGGUAAGUUGGAUGUGAAAUCUCCUGGCUCAACUGGGAGAGGCCGUUCAAUACUGUCAGACUAGAGGGCGACAGAGGGAGGUAGAAUUCCGGGUGUAGUGGUGAAAUGCGUAGAUAUCCGGAGGAAUACCAGAGGCGAAGGCGACCUUCUGGGUCGCACCUGACGCUCAGACGCGAAAGCUAGGGGAGCAAACGGGAUUAGAAACCCCGGUAGUCCUAGCCGUAAACGAUGUAGACUGGGUGUUGGCGGGGUAAAAGCCGUCAGUGCCGAAGCAAACGCGAUA
rnacentral:rRNA from 1 species